rnacentral:rRNA from 1 species
AUUGAACGCUGGCGGCAGGCUUAACACAUGCAAGUCGAGCGGAGUGAUGGUGCUUGCACUAUCACUUAGCGGCGGACGGGUGCGUAAUGCUUAGGAAUCUGCCUAUUAGUGGGGGACAACAUCUCGAAAGGGAUGCUAAUACCGCAUACGUCCUACGGGAGAAAGCAGGGGAUCACUUGUGACCUUGCACUAAUAGAUGAGCCUAAGUCGGAUUAGCUAGUUGGUGGGGUAAAGGCCUACCAAGGCGACGAUCUGUAGCGGGUCUGAGAGGAUGAUCCGCCACACUGGGACUGAGACACGGCCCAGACUCCUACGGGAGGCAGCAGUGGGGAAUAUUGGACAAUGGGGGGAACCCUGAUCUAGCCAUGCCGCGUGUGUGAAGAAGGCCUUAUGGUUGUAAAGCACUUUAAGCGAGGAGGAGGCUCUUUUGGUUAAUACCCAAGAUGAGUGGACGUUACUCGCAGAAUAAGCACCGGCUAACUCUGUGCCAGCCGCCGCAGUAA